rnacentral:rRNA from 1 species
UACGUAGGGUGCGAGCGUUGUCCGGAAUUAUUGGGCGUAAAGAGCUCGUAGGCGGUGUGUCGCGUCGGCCGUGAAAACCUGGGGCUCAACUCUGGGCGUGCGGUCGAUACGGGCAUCACUAGAGUUCGGCAGGGGAGACUGGAAUUCCUGGUGUAGCGGUGAAAUGCGCAGAUAAUCAGGAGGAACACCGGUGGCGAAGGGCGGGUCUCCUGG